UUCACUUUCACCCAAACAGAGGGAGUUCUCAUCGCCGAAACAGAUUCAGAGGGAAGGGAGAUCUCAUCGCCGAAACCCUAAGUUCACUGUCACUGCCGUCGCAUCCUUAGGUCAUCUCCACCCUCCAAAUCGGCGCCUCUGCCUCACAUGACAUCUUCCUCCGCCUCCUCCCCUCCCACUUUUCAAUUUCUGCAACCUCCACAUAGAGCGCCUCUCCAUUUCCAAUUUCAGUCGAUGUGAUUCGUUGGACUUGCAGGAGGUGGAAUUGCUCGAGAUGGACUUGAAUUGGUGGGAGAAAGAUACGUGAUACCUGCCUGUUGUGCAAGCAACAACAUCAAAUUUUGUAAUUCGGAUGACUUGAAUGCCACCAGCGGAAACUUUGGUUUUCGUGGGGAAGCUUUAGCUUCCAUUUCCGAAGUCUCUUUGUUAGAAAUUGUGACAAGAACAUACGGAAGGUCUACUGGAUAUAGAAAGGUAUUGAAGACUUGUGCAUUGAAAGUGUACACUAGCUGAAAAUUAAAGGAUGUUACGCAAUUAUACAAGCAAAUUGUUGUGCAGCCACAACCAUCAUAUCAAAGUCUUCUUCUACCCUUCACAGCUAAGGUUCUGUCCCUGUCCCGUCCGCUAACUUCUGGUGUGUUUCUGUAUUUGUUUUGCAGACUUUACAGUAUGUCUGUAUCCUUGUGACUACAAAUUUAGAUAGUGUAAUUAUGGGAUAGUAGAUGAUAUGCCGAGGUUUGAAAAAUAUUCAAUACCAUAAACAUUUGAAUUGUUGGCCUUAACAUUGUUAGAUGUUAACUCACAGUUCGUAUGCAUGUGGCCUAAUUCAUAUGCUUCUGAGUCAAUUGGCUAAUAGGUUUGAGCAUCUGAAUUCAUGGAAUACUAAAAAUGAGUUCAAAAACAAGAAGAAAAGUAGGUUUCAACCAUGUCCAGCUUAUAUCUUGAAUAUAAGUUGCCUUCAUUCUUUCUAUGAUUUGACAUUUGAAUCAUCAAAAACUUGGGUACAAUUCAAGGUAAUUCUUUUGCCCGUUUUCUUUACUCAUUUUUCUUAUCAUGUUUGUCAAUCAUUGUUGCUGUAUGGGCUCAUAAUUCAUAGUUGCUUGUUGAAGGUCCAAAAGUUAAUUUUAUAGGGUUCUAGUCCAAAUUCAGAACAUUUAUUAGAGAUGUGUAGAAUUUCUUUUUUGGGAUUCCUAUAUUAUUGUCUCAUUCAGUGGGAAUUGUCUUAUCACAACUUGGUACAUUAGAUAAAUAUUUUUUUUUUUUGCUCAACAUUUUUAUAUCCUGCAAAUUAAGGAUUGGGAUUCUAUACUCAACUCCAUUGAGAAGGUCAUAAAAGAAUGCUGAGAGGAAAACAUAGAUUGUGGAGAGUCCUUCAAUCAGUCCACUUACAUGGUACAUGAAGGUCAUCCGUGGAAAGAUCUUAACAUUCUUCCAACAGAAGCAGGCAAGCUAACCGAAGAUGAAUAGUAUCAAUCUGACAGGGAAGAUGUUAGAACCUCUCUUGGUUACUUGUGUCAAGGGACUGAAAUAUUGGGAGAAACAAAAUUCAUUUACUUUUGAGCAUUAGUUAUGUGCUAAUCAUUGAUGUAACAUAGAUUUGUAGUAUUUAUGUUAUUUAAAUUUGUAUUAUGCUUUAUUACUUUUCAAGAGAAAUUUGCAUAUAAAUAUUUUGAAUUUAAUGAAAUAUUUCAAUUUGUAGUA